CCUACGGGGGGCUGCAGUGGGGAAUAUUGGACAAUGGGGGGAACCCUGAUCCAGCCAUGCCGCGUGUGUGAAGAAGGCCCUCGGGUUGUAAAGCACUUUCAGUGAGGAAGAACGCCUGGUGGUUAAUACCCAUCAGGAAAGACAUCACUCACAGAAGAAGCACCGGCUAACUCCGUGCCAGCAGCCGCGGUAAUACGGAGGGUGCGAGCGUUAAUCGGAAUUACUGGGCGUAAAGCGCGCGUAGGUGGCUUGAUAAGCCGGUUGUGAAAGCCCCGGGCUCAACCUGGGAACGGCAUCCGGAACUGGCAAGCUAGAGUGCAGGAGAGGAAGGUGGAAUUCCCGGUGUAGCGGUGAAAUGCGUAGAGAUCGGGAGGAAUACCAGUGGCGAAGGCGGCCUUCUGGACUGACACUGACACUGAGGUGCGAAAGCGUGGGUAGCAAACAGGAUUAGAUACCCCUGUAGUC
rnacentral:rRNA from 1 species